rnacentral:lncRNA from 1 species
CAUGUGGUGAUAUUCCAGAGUUAUAGCAGAAUUCAUGCUAGCUACAGGGUUAAUAGAACAAAAACCUGAUCCUGCUUCGGAGAGCUUGCAGUGAAGAGUAAGUCCUUGUGCUGCUACAUGGUGAGCCUCAGCAACUGACCCAAACUAAAAAUAAUAUGGCAAGAAAAAAACAUGCGAUUUCAGCUCCACAAGUUAUCUAAUCAGUCCCUUGUGUCACUAUGAACAGGAUUGUGCCAGAAGAGGUAAAGAGUGCUUGAUCAUUCUUGAGG